UUCCGGUUGAUCCUGCCGGAGGACAUUGCUAUUGGGAUUCGAUUUAGCCAUGCUAGUCGCACGAACUUAGAUUCGUGGCAGAUAGCUCAGUAACACGUGGCCAAGCUCCCCUUCAGACCAGAAUAACCUCGGGAAACUGAGGCUAAGACUGGAUACGGUAUGUAUGCUGGAAUGCGACAUACUCCAAACGUUCCGACGCUGAAGGAUGCGGGCUGCGGGCCGAUUAGGUAGACGGUGGGGUAACGGCCCACCGUGCCAAUAAUUGGUACGGGUGAUGAGAGUCAGAGCCCGGAGACGGAAUCUGAGACAAGAUUCCGGGCCCUACGGGGCGCAGCAGGCGCGAAACCUUUACACUGCACGCAAGUGCGAUAGGGGAAUCCCAAGUGCGAGAGCAUACUAGCUCUCGCUUUUGUUGACUGUAAGGAGGUCAACGAAUAAGAGCUGGGCAAGACCGGUGCCAGCCGCCGCGGUAAUACCGGCAGCUCGAGUGAUGUCCAAUUUUAUUGGGCCUAAAGCGUCCGUAGCUGGCCAGCCAAGUCCGUCGGGAAAUCCACCUGCCCAACAGGUGGGCGUCCGGCGGAAACUGUCUGGCUUGGAACCGGAAGGCUCAGAGGGUACGUCGAGGGUAGGAGUGAAAUCCUGUAAUCCUCGACGGACCACCGAUGGCGAAAGCACUCUGAGAAGACGGAUUCGACAGUGAGGGACGAAAGCUAGGGUCUCGAACCGGAUUAGAUACCCGGGUAGUCCUAGCUGUAAACGAUGCUCGUUAGAUGUGGCACCCACUACGAGUGGGUGCUGUGUCGUAGGGAAGCCGCUAAACGAGCCGCCUGGGAAGUACGUCCGCAAGGAUGAAACUUAAAGGAAUUGGCGGGGGAGCAC
rnacentral:rRNA from 1 species